rnacentral:rRNA from 1 species
GGUUAAGCGACUAAGCGUACACGGUGGAUGCCCGGCAGUCAGAGGCGAUGAAGGACGUGCUAAUCUGCGAAAAGCGUCGGUAAGGUGAUAUGAACCGUUAUAACCGGCGAUGUCCGAAUGGGGAAACCCAGUGUGAUUCGUCACACUAUCGUUAACUGAAUACAUAGGUUAACGAGGCGAACCGGGGAACUGAAACAUCUAAGUACCCCGAGGAAAAGAAAUCAACCGAGAUUCCCCAGUAGCGGCGAGCGAACGGGGAGCAGCCCAGAGUCUGAAUCAGCUUGUGUGUUAGUGGAACGGUCUGGAAAGUCCGACGGUACAGGGUGAUAGUCCCGUACACCAAAAUGCACAGGUUGUGAACUCGAAGAGUAGGGCGGGACACGUGGUAUCCUGUCUGAAUAUGGGGGACCAUCCUCCAAGGCUAAAUACUCCUGACUGACCGAUAGUGAACCAGUACCGUGAGGGAAAGGCGAAAAGAACCCCGGCGAGGGGAGUGAAAAAGAACCUGAAACCGUGUACGUACAAGCAGUGGGAGCACCUUCGGGUGUGACUGCGUACCUUUGUAUAAUGGGUCAGCGACUUAUAUUCUGUAGCAAGGUUAACCGUAUAGGGGAGCCGCAGGGAAACCGAGUCUUAACUGGGCGUUAAGUUGCAGGGUAUAGACCCGAAACCCGGUGAUCUAGCCAUGGGCAGGUUGAAGGUUGGGUAACACUAACUGGAGGACCGAACCGACUAAUGUUGAAAAAUUAGCGGAUGACUUGUGGCUGGGGGUGAAAGGCCAAUCAAACCGGGAGAUAGCUGGUUCUCCCCGAAAGCUAUUUAGGUAGCGCCUCGUGAACUCAUCUUCGGGGGUAGAGCACUGUUUCGGCUAGGGGGUCAUCCCGACUUACCAACCCGAUGCAAACUACGAAUACCGAAGAAUGUUAUCACGGGAGACACACGGCGGGUGCUAACGUCCGUCGUGAAGGGAAACAACCCAGACCGCCAGCUAAGGUCCCAAAGUCAUGGUUAAGUGGGAAACGAUGUGGGAAGGCACAGACAGCCAGGAUGUUGGCUUAGAAGCAGCCAUCAUUUAAAGAAAGCGUAAUAGCUCACUGGUCGAGUCGGCCUGCGCGGAAGAUGUAACGGGGCUAAACCAUGCACCGAAGCUGCGGCAGCGACACUAUGUGUUGUUGGGUAGGGGAGCGUUCUGUAAGCCUGCGAAGGUGACCUGUGAGGGUUGCUGGAGGUAUCAGAAGUGCGAAUGCUGACAUAAGUAACGAUAAAGCGGGUGAAAAGCCCGCUCGCCGGAAGACCAAGGGUUCCUGUCCAACGUUAAUCGGGGCAGGGUGAGUCGACCCCUAAGGCGAGGCCGAAAGGCGUAGUCGAUGGGAAACAGGUUAAUAUUCCUGUACUUGGUGUUACUGCGAAGGGGGACGGAGAAGGCUAUGUUAGCCGGGCGACGGUUGUCCCGGUUUAAGCAUGUAGGCUGAUUAUCCAGGCAAAUCCGGAUAAUCAAGGCUGAGGUGUGAUGACGAGGCACUACGGUGCUGAAGUAACAAAUGCCCUGCUUCCAGGAAAAGCCUCUAAGCAUCAGGUAACAUUAAAUCGUACCCCAAACCGACACAGGUGGUCAGGUAGAGAAUACCAAGGCGCUUGAGAGAACUCGGGUGAAGGAACUAGGCAAAAUGGUGCCGUAACUUCGGGAGAAGGCACGCUGGUGUGUAGGUGAAGUCCCUGCGGAUGGAGCUGAGACCAGUCGAAGAUACCAGCUGGCUGCAACUGUUUAUUAAAAACACAGCACUGUGCAAACACGAAAGUGGACGUAUACGGUGUGACGCCUGCCCGGUGCCGGAAGGUUAAUUGAUGGGGUUAUCCGUAAGGGCUCUUGAUCGAAGCCCCGGUAAACGGCGGCCGUAACUAUAACGGUCCUAAGGUAGCGAAAUUCCUUGUCGGGUAAGUUCCGACCUGCACGAAUGGCGUAAUGAUGGCGGGCUGUCUCCACCCGAGACUCAGUGAAAUUGAACUCGCUGUGAAGAUGCAGUGUACCCGCGGCAAGACGGAAAGACCCCGUGAACCUUUACUAUAGCUUGACACUGAACAUUGAGCCUUGAUGUGUAGGAUAGGUGGGAGGCUUUGAAGCGUGGACGCCAGUCUGCGUGGAGCCAACCUUGAAAUACCACCCUUUAAUGUUUGAUGUUCUAACGUUGGCCCCUGACCGGGGUUGCGGACAGUGUCUGGUGGGUAGUUUGACUGGGGCGGUCUCCUCCCAAAGCGUAACGGAGGAGCACGAAGGUUAGCUAAUCCUGGUCGGACAUCAGGAGGUUAGUGCAAUGGCAUAAGCUAGCUUGACUGCGAGCGUGACGGCGCGAGCAGGUGCGAAAGCAGGUCAUAGUGAUCCGGUGGUUCUGAAUGGAAGGGCCAUCGCUCAACGGAUAAAAGGUACUCCGGGGAUAACAGGCUGAUACCGCCCAAGAGUUCAUAUCGACGGCGGUGUUUGGCACCUCGAUGUCGGCUCAUCACAUCCUGGGGCUGAAGUAGGUCCCAAGGGUAUGGCUGUUCGCCAUUUAAAGUGGUACGCGAGCUGGGUUUAGAACGUCGUGAGACAGUUCGGUCCCUAUCUGCCGUGGACGCUGGAGAAUUGAGGGGGCUGCUCCUAGUACGAGAGGACCGGAGUGGACGCAUCACUGGUGUUCGGGUUGUCAUGCCAAUGGCACUGCCCGGUAGCUAAAUGCGGAAGAGAUAAGUGCUGAAAGCAUCUAAGCACGAAACUUGCCCCGAGAUGAGUUCUCCCUGAGACUUUAAGUCUCCUGAAGGAACGUUAAAGACGAUGACGUUGAUAGGCCGGGUGUGUAAGCGCAGCGAUGCGUUGAGCUAACCGGUACUAAUGAACCGUGAGGCUUAACCUU